AGCGAACGCUGGCGGCAGGCCUAACACAUGCAAGUCGAACGAACCUUUCGGGGUUGGUGGCGAACGGGUGGGUAACGCGAGGGAACGUGCCAUUAGGUACGGAAUCUCCCAGGGACACGUGUGCUAAUACCGGAUGUGCCCUUCGGGGGCACGAUAUAUCGCCUUUCGAGCGGCCCGCGUCUGAUUAGCUCGUUGGUUGAGGUAAUGGCUCACCAAGGCGACGAUCAGUAGCUGGUCUGAGAGGAUGAUCAGCCACAUUGGGACUGAGACACGGCCCAAACUCCUACGGGAGGCAGCAGUGGGGAAUCUUGCGCAAUGGGCGAAAGCCUGACGCAGCCAUGCCGCGUGAAUGAUGAAGGUCUUAGGAUUGUAAAAUUCUUUCACCGGGGACGAUAAUGACGGUACCCGGAGAAGAAGCCCCGGCUAACUUCGUG
rnacentral:rRNA from 1 species